rnacentral:rRNA from 1 species
AGUGAACGCUGGCGGUAGGCCUAACACAUGCAAGUCGAACGGCAGCACAGUAAGAGCUUGCUCUUACGGGUGGCGAGUGGCGGACGGGUGAGGAAUACAUCGGAAUCUACUUUUUCGUGGGUGAUAACGUAGGGAAACUUACGCUAAUACCUCAUAGGACCUACUGGUGAAAGCAGGGGGUGUUCGGACCUUGCGCGAUUGUAUGAGCCGAUGUCGGAUUAGCUAGUUGGCGGGGUAAAGGCCCACCAAGGCGACGAUCCGUAGCGGGUCUGAGAGGAUGAUCAGCCACACUGGAACUGAGACACGGUCCAGACUCCUACGGGAGGCAGCAGUGGGGAAUAUUGGACAAGGGGCGCAAGCCUGAUCCAGACAUACCGCGUGGGUGAAGAAGGCGUUCGGGUUGUAAAGCCCUUUUGUUGGGAAAGAAAAGCAGCCGGUUAAUACCCCGCUGUUCUGACGGUACCCAAAGAAUAAGCACCGGCUAACUUCGUG